rnacentral:rRNA from 1 species
CAAGUCGAACGAUGAUCUCCAGCUUGCUGGGGGGAUUAGUGGCGAACGGGUGAGUAACACGUGAGUAACCUGCCCUUAACUCUGGGAUAAGCCUGGGAAACUGGGUCUAAUACCGGAUAUGACUCCUCAUCGCAUGGUGGGGGGUGGAAAGCUUUUGUGGUUUUGGAUGGACUCGCGGCCUAUCAGCUUGUUGGUGAGGUAAUGGCUCACCAAGGCGACGACGGGUAGCCGGCCUGAGAGGGUGACCGGCCACACUGGGACUGAGACACGGCCCAGACUCCUACGGGAGGCAGCAGUGGGGAAUAUUGCACAAUGGGCGCAAGCCUGAUGCAGCGACGCCGCGUGAGGGAUGACGGCCUUCGGGUUGUAAACCUCUUUCAGUAGGGAAGAAGCGAAAGUGACGGUACCUGCAGAAGAAGCGCCGGCUAACUACGUGCCAGCAGCCGCGGUAAUACGUAGGGCGCAAGCGUUAUCCGGAAUUAUUGGGCGUAAAGAGCUCGUAGGCGGUUUGUCGCGUCUGCCGUGAAAGUCCGGGGCUCAACUCCGGAUCUGCGGUGGGUACGGGCAGACUAGAGUGAUGUAGGGGAGACUGGAAUUCCUGGUGUAGCGGUGAAAUGCGCAGAUAUCAGGAGGAACACCGAUGGCGAAGGCAGGUCUCUGGGCAUUAACUGACGCUGAGGAGCGAAAGCAUGGGGAGCGAACAGGAUUAGAUACCCUGGUAGUCCAUGCCGUAAACGUUG